UACGUAGGGUGCAAGCGUUGUCCGGAAUUAUUGGGCGUAAAGAGCUCGUAGGCGGUCUGUCGCGUCGGAUGUGAAAACCCAGGGCUCAACCCUGGGCCUGCAUUCGAUACGGGCAGACUAGAGUUCGGUAGGGGAGACUGGAAUUCCUGGUGUAGCGGUGAAAUGCGCAGAUAUCAGGAGGAACACCGGUGGCGAAGGCGGGUCUCUGGGCCGAAACUGACGCUGAGGCGCGAAAGCUAGGGGAGCAAACGGG
rnacentral:rRNA from 1 species